rnacentral:tRNA from 1 species
GGGGAUGUAGUUCAAUGGUAGAACCCUUGCCUACCAUGUAGGAGGCAUUCUUCAUUCCUA